rnacentral:rRNA from 1 species
AUACGGAGGGUGCAAGCGUUAUUCGGAAUCACUGGGCGUAAAGGACGCGUAGGCGGGUUGGCAAGUCAGAUGUGAAAUCCUACAGCUUAACUGUAGAACUGCAUUUGAAACUGCUAACCUAGAGUAUGGGAGGGGGAGAUGGAAUUAGUGGUGUAGGGGUAAAAUCCGUAGAUAUCACUAGGAAUACCGAAAGCGAAGGCGAUCUCCUGGAACAUAACUGACGCUAAGGCGUGCAAGCGUGGGGAGCAAACAGGAUUAGAUACCCUAGUAGUCC